rnacentral:rRNA from 1 species
AGUGAGCGCUGGCGGUAGGCCUAACACAUGCAAGUCGAACGGCAGCACAGUAAGAGCUUGCUCUUACGGGUGGCGAGUGGCGGACGGGUGAGGAAUACAUCGGAAUCUACUUUUUCGUGGGGGAUAACGUAGGGAAACUUACGCUAAUACCGCAUACGACCUACGGGUGAAAGCAGGGGAUCUUCGGACCUUGCGCGAUUGAAUGAGCCGAUGUCGGAUUAGCUAGUUGGCGGGGUAAAGGCCCACCAAGGCGACGAUCCGUAGCUGGUCUGAGAGGAUGAUCAGCCACACUGGAACUGAGACACGGUCCAGACUCCUACGGGAGGCAGCAGUGGGGAAUAUUGGACAAUGGGCGCAAGCCUGAUCCAGCCAUACCGCGUGGAUGAAGAAGGCCUUCGGGUUGUAAAGCCCUUUUGUUGGGAAAGAAAAGCAGCAGGUUAAUACCCCGCUGUUCUGACGGUACCCAAAGAAUAAGCACCGGCUAACUUCGUG